CGGGGUGUAGUACAACGGAAGUACACAUGCUUUGGGGGCAUGAGAUCUGGGUUCAAUUCCCAGCACCCCGA
rnacentral:tRNA from 1 species